rnacentral:rRNA from 1 species
AACGCGAAGAACCUUACCAAAUCUUGACAUCCCGAUGACAGGCUGUGUAAUGCAGCUUCUCUUCGGAGCAUCGGUGACAGGUGGUGCAUGGUUGUCGUCAGCUCGUGUCGUGAGAUGUUGGGUUAAGUCCCGCAACGAGCGCAACCCUUGUCUUUAGUAGCCAGCAUUUAGGAUGGGCACUCUAGAGAGACUGCCAGGGAUAACCUGGAGGAAGGUGGGGAUGACGUCAAAUCAUCAUGCCCCUUAUGAUUUGGGCUACACACGUGCUACAAUGGCGUAAACAAAGAGAAGCAAAGGAGUGAUCCGGAGCAAAUCUCAAAAAUAACGUCUCAGUUCGGAUUGUAGUCUGCAACUCGACUACAUGAAGCUGGAAUCGCUAGUAAUCGCGCAUCAGCCAUGGCGCGGUGAAUACGUUCCCGGGUCUUGUACACACGC